UUUAAAAAAAUCAUGGGGCUGUUGGUUGGAUUCAAAGGGACACUUGCAGGUCAGUGGUUGCAUCAAAAUCACGCGGCUGAGCAUAGCGGAUUCCACAUGGUUUAGACUUUAGACAACGGAUCCAAGGUAUCUUCGACUGUCUGUUGUGCGAGAGGCGCGAAUGGUGAAGUGGCAGCUUGAGGCUGUGCGUCACGCAAAUGACUGGAGUUGCGCAAAGCAAACCUAGGCUGUGUUGGAGCAACACACAACGAUUGGGCAAGCAGGAUGAUCGUCGUGCAACGGUAUUGGGCAGAUGGGUGUGGCUAUGGGAUGGGUUAUUAAUCUAAAAUUUUGGAUUGUUAUUUUAAUUAUUUUUGAAAUUUUUAAUUUUUCUAGAUUAUUAAAUGAGGUGAGAGAGAUUAAAAAUAAUUUUUAAUUUAAAAUAAUUUAAUAAAAGUGUUAAAUACGACUCCUAUUUUCAGUUAAAUUUGAAAAAUAAUAUUUCAGUUAAACUCUGUUUACUUGUUUCAAUCAAACACUGAUUAGUUUAGAUUAUUUUAUUAUUAUUUGACCUAUGAAUUUAGCCUAUAAAUAGGUUCUUUUACAACAUUAAAAAUAUGACACCUAUUAGAUAUUAGAACUCAUAACACAUUUAGAAAAUUUUGUGUUUACGUUUUGAGAGUUCUUUGUUUUCGGGUUUUCGGGGUUUAAUCUUUAUCUCCAUCUUUUGUACUCUUCGUUCUUUUGUCAUUAUAGUAAAAUUAUUUUUACCCGUGGUUUUUUAUCCUCUUUAGAGGGGUUUUUCCACGUUAAAUUUGUGUGUUCAAUUUCUCGAUUUAUUUCGCUAUUUUUUCUUAUUCGUUGCUUAAUCGGGUCGAUUCUAACAGAAAGAAAACUAAUUUAAUAAUAUUUUUAAAAAGAAUUCUACCAAUUUUAUAAAUUAUAUAUAUUAGAUUAUAUUUAUAUAUGGAUUUAUACUUUUUAUCUUUAAAAUUUAUACAUAUUUGAUAAAAGAGUUUGUAUAUAUUUAAUAAAAGAACAUGUCUCGUGUUUUUUUUUUUUUGAAAUCAUAGUGUCCACCGUUGGUAAUAUGCGCCGUGUUUUCAUUACUUAAAAUUGUCAUUGCUUAAAGGGACUCAUAAUCACCUAGCUAUUUGUAAGUUUUUUUUUUGUUGGUUAUCUAACUAUUCAAAAUUUUUUUUGUUGCUAGUCAUUAAAUGAUUAAUAGAAAAAUGACAUGACAACUUCUAAAAUUGAUAUAAUAGUUGCAUCAGUGUAGUCUUAUUUUUUUAAAAAAAUAGCCUUCAUCAUUAUACUUUACCUUAUUUUAUGAAAAUAUAUUUCAAUAUACAAUGUGUAAAUCAGAAAUAAAAAUAAUUGUUUUUCUUUAAAUCUCUUUAUUGAUAAACUAGAUAAUCCCCAAAUACAUUACUUUCCUUAUACUUCAAAUAGUCAGACAACUUAAUAUCUUUCAAUGACAAUUAACUCAUUUUUUGUUAACUUGAGCUAAUCACCAUUGACUUAAAAUUGGAUUGAAUUAACAAAAUGUGUGCUUUUUAUUUUCAAAUAAUUGAAUUGAGUAUUUUUUUAUAAAAAAAUGUCAUUUCUUUUAUUUGUUCUUCAUUUUUCCAUGCAGUCAAACAUAGGGACGUCGCCAAAGGACGAAGUGGCAGCACUAUAAUCGCUCCUAUUUACAAACAAAAUCUAUCAUUUGAUAUCGACUCCAGCAAUCGAUAACACAAAAUCAUUAAUGGUUCUAUUCAAAAUCUAAGGUCCCCGGUCAAUCAACUUUCCACUCCUUGGACCCUAUUGAGCUUAUUGCAACUCUAGUUUCCAAAGUUGAUUUCAAAGACACUUUCAUUUUCUUUUUAAUUGUGGAUUAAUUCAACGAGUGAUGAGACUUUCUGUGUUCUUUGGAAAUGAUAAUAAUAAUGAUGAAAAUAACAAGAGCAACUCAAUUGAAUCGACAUCGAGCAAUUCAAGUGUGAAUCUUAUGAAAUUGGUGAAUAGUGAACCAGCAAAGAUCGAGUUAUCUCAGUUGUCAAUUCUCGAUCCAACAGUGAAGAAUUGGACUAUCAAGAGAAAAGAAUGGAAAAUGUGAAAAUUAUGAUACUAGGUUUUUGAGUGUUUCUAUUUUUUGUAUUUUUUCAAUAAAAUUAAAUUGAUAAAUUUAAUUUUUUGAGCUUUUUAGGUGAAAGGGUCACAAAGAUUAGCAAAACUAUACAAGGACCAAGUUACACAUGUGCAAAUGUUGAAGGUUAAAUUCUUUAGAAUCAAUACUAAAUUGAUGCAAUGCAUAAAUUUUAAGGGUUAAAAUUCUUAUUAUGCUAAUUUUAAAAGUUAUCAUGUUAUAUUUCUAUUAGUUAUAUAACGACUAGUGACAAAAAAG
rnacentral:lncRNA from 1 species